rnacentral:misc_RNA from 1 species
AAGUCGUAACAAGGUUUCCGUAGGUGAACCUGCGGAAGGAUCAUUAUCGUACAAUGGAGGUGCUGGGGUUGUCGCUGACUUUUGAAACGGUCGUGCACGCCUCGGUACUCUCACAUACAAUCCAUCUCACCCCUCUUGUGCAUCACCGCGUGGAGGCCCCUUUUGGCUAGUUCUAAAGGGGGUUUUCGCGUUUUUAUACAUACACCGUUUUAAUGCAAUGCGUAGAAUGUCAUACUUUUGCGAUCACACGCAAUUAAUACAACUUUCAACAACGGAUCUCUUGGCUCUC